rnacentral:rRNA from 1 species
UAAUGCCGGAUGCUCCGACUCCUCGCAUGGGGUGUCGGGAAAGAUUUCAUCGGUAUGGGAUGGGGUCGCGUCCUAUCAGGUAGUCGGCGGGGUAACGGCCCACCGAGCCUACGACGGGUAGCCGGCCUGAGAGGGCGACCGGCCACAUUGGGACUGAGAUACGGCCCAGACUCCUACGGGAGGCAGCAGUGGGGAAUAUUGCACAAUGGGCGCAAGCCUGAUGCAGCGACGCCGCGUGCGGGAUGACGGCCUUCGGGUUGUAAACCGCUUUUGAUCGGGAGCAAGCCUUCGGGUGAGUGUACCUUUCGAAUAAGCACCGGCUAACUACGUGCCAGCAGCCGCGGUAAUACGUAGGGUGCAAGCGUUAUCCGGAAUUAUUGGGCGUAAAGGGCUCGUAGGCGGUUCGUCGCGUCCGGUGUGAAAGUCCAUCGCUUAACGGUGGAUCUGCGCCGGGUACGGGCGGGCUGGAGUGCGGUAGGGGAGACUGGAAUUCCCGGUGUAACGGUGGAAUGUGUAGAUAUCGAAAAAAAA